UGCAGUUCUCAGGUGAUGCACCCGGAACCAGAGAGGAGGGAGCCUGAUUCCGGGGUGCGUCACCUGAGAACCGCC
rfam:Myotis brandtii contig273258, whole genome shotgun sequence.